rnacentral:tRNA from 1 species
GGGUUAUUAGCUCAGGUGGUUAGAGCGUACCCCUGAUAAGGGUAAGGUCGCUGGUUCGAGUCCAGCAUAACCCACCA